GCCUGGCAUGGUGGCGCGGGAGGCUGAGGUGGGAGGAUCUCUUGAGCCCAGGAGUUCUGGGCUGUAGUGCGCUCUGCCGAUCGGGUGUCUGCACUAAGUUCGGCAUCAGUAUGGUGACCUCCCGGGAGUGGGGGACCACCAGGUUGCCUCAGGAGGGGUCAACUGGCCCAGGUCGGAAACAGAGCAGGUCAAAACUCCUGUGCUGAUCAGUAGUGGGAUCGCGCCUGUGAAUAGCCACUGCACUCCAGCCUGGGCAACAUAGCGAGACCCUGUCUCU
rnacentral:SRP_RNA from 1 species